UACGUAGGGUGCAAGCGUUAAUCGGAAUCAUUGGGCGUAAAGCGCACGUAGGCGGUCUGUUAUGUCGGAUGUGAAAGCCCUUGGCUUAACUGAGGAAGUGCAUCCGAAACUGGCAGGCUAGAGUACUAAAGAGGGUCGUGGAAUUCCCGGUGUAGAGGUGAAAUUCGUAGAUAUCGGGAGGAACACCGGUGGCGAAGGCGGCGACCUGGGUAGAUACUGACGCUGAGGUGCGAAAGCGUGGGGAGCAAACAGG
rnacentral:rRNA from 1 species